CAAGGUUUAUCAUGUGAGUUAUCCAAUAUGCAUUACACUCAAGUUCAAUUGGUAAGUGACAUACUUUUUCGAACUCCAAUCAAUAAGGAGACAUCCCAAUAGGAGUUUUAAAUGCGGUUCGGUAGGCUAAAAGCGCAUCAUCUAAUUUUUUUGACUAAUCUGUGUGUGACAUAUUAACUAUAGCUUCUAGGAUUUUCUUUAACUCCCUGAUGGAGAUCUUAACUUGCCCAUUAGUCCGUAGACUUAUGUCAAACAGUUAAACUAUCACUAUCUAGUGACUGAACAAGUUUUCAUUAUUUGAAUAAAUAUUUUUGUUGUUAGUGAAUUGAGCUUGUUUAUUGAAUGACAACACUAGAAUGUUUUCUAAGAAGAAAUGAUAAAUACAUGAGCAUGUUUUCGAAUUGUGAUAUAAAUAUUGCUCAUACAAGUUUGAUCCAUAUUUAGUCAAAUAUGAUUGAAGACCAGUUAGAUAGUUGUAUAUACAUGUUUAGCCCCUAUUUAGUAGAAUCAUUUGCUGUCCCUUGAAACCAUCUCGCACAUGAGGCCAUACUAAAUUUAUCAACAUUAUUGCUUACACUCCAUAGAUUAGCCACUAUGUUAGGAGAACUCGCCGAUAAAUACAAAAUAGGAGCAUCUUCCAGGGCGUAAAGCCUAUUUAGUUUUAUUUUACCACUUUCUCUUCCCA
rnacentral:lncRNA from 1 species